rnacentral:misc_RNA from 1 species
GAUGAAGACGUAGUGAAAUGCGAUAAGUAGUGUGAAUUGCAGAAUUCAGUGAAUCAUCGAAUCUUUGAACGCACAUUGCGCCCCUUGGUAUUCCAUGGGGCAUGCCUGUUCGAGCGUCAUUUGUACCUUCAAGCUUUGCUUGGUGUUGGGUGUUUGUCCAUUCUCUUGCAGAGGGACUCGCCUUAAAGUAAUUGGCAGCCAGUGUUUUGGUUUUGAAGCGCAGCACAAGUCGCGAUUCAAAGCUAUACGCCCGCUUCCACAAGCCUUUUUCACUUUUGACCUCGGAUCAGGUAGGGAUACCCGCUGAACUUAAGCAUAUCAAUAAGCGGAGGA